AUGUUUUGAGUAUAUCAGUACAUUUACCUUCCAAGUAAAAAGAUAAUUUAAAAAUUAAAAACAUA
rnacentral:tRNA from 1 species